UACGUACGAGGCGAGCGUUAUCCGGAAUUACUGGGCGUAAAGCGCGCGCAGGCGGGCUUUUAAGUAGGGCGUGAAAUCUCCCGGCCUAACUGGGAGGGGUCGCCCUAGACUGGAAGUCUUGAGGAUGGCAGAGGUUGGUGGAAUUCCUGGUGUAGUGGUGAAAUGCGUAGAGAUCAGGAGGAACACCGGUGGCGAAGGCGGCCAACUGGGCCAUCGCUGACGCUGAGGCGCGAAAGCUCGGGGAG
rnacentral:rRNA from 1 species